UUUUACGCAACUCCUAUCCCUACCUCCACGCGGUACCGGCCGGUAACUAUGAGCAACCUUAGGGAAGAUCGGGUAACCAACCCCGGUGGGAACUUUGGUCGUAGGCUGACAGGGAAGG
rnacentral:ribozyme from 1 species